GUGGGAGGGGGCUUGCCCCCGAUGGCUGAGUGUCAGUCAACCUUUCAGUAGCUGACACACCGCCAUCGGGGGCAAGCCCCCUCCCAC
rnacentral:misc_RNA from 1 species